GCUGGGCAUGGUGGUGCAUGCCUGUAAUCUCAGUGGCUUAGGAGGCUGAGGCAAGAGGAUCACAAGUUCAAGGCCAGCCUCAGCAAUUCAGGGAAACCCUAAGCAACUUACUGAGACCCUGUCUCUG
rnacentral:sRNA from 1 species